UACGAAGGGGGCGAGCGUUGUUCGGAUUUACUGGGCGUAAAGGGCGCGUAGGCGGCGCGGUAAGUCACUUGUGAAAUCUCUGAGCUUAACUCAGAACGGCCAAGUGAUACUGCAGUGCUAGAGUGUGGAAGGGGCAAUCGGAAUUCUUGGUGUAGCGGUGAAAUGCGUAGAUAUCAAGAGGAACACCUGAGGUGAAGACGGGUUGCUGGGCCAACACUGACACUGAGGCGCGAAAGCCAGGGGAGCAAACGGG
rnacentral:rRNA from 1 species